AUGUAGACGUUCCUCAUUCUUUUUUAACAAUGUCCAGAAUAUGGAUACCAUAUUAUUUAUAUUUUUGAGAUUAUUAGAGAAAAGUUUCUUGAAAGAUGUAACACUUGAGCUGGGACAUGCAGAUUAAGAUUUUUAUUUAUUUAACGGAGGAAGGUCAUUUCUGGCUGGGGUAAUAAUGUUGUUGACAGAGUUCUUUUUUUUGUUUUUUUUGAGACGGAGUCUCGCUCUGUCACCCAGACUGGUGCGAUCUUGGCUCACUGCAACCUCCACCUCUCAGGCUGAGGCAGGAGAAUGGUGUGAACCUGGCAGGCAGAGCUUGCAGUAAGCUGAGAUCGGGCCACAGCACUCCAGCCUGGGCGACAGAGCGAGGCUCUAUCUCAAGA
rnacentral:lncRNA from 10 species